AUUACAAUAAAUCAUGCCAUUCACACAAGUUCUUACAGGGAUUUAAUUGCAUCUUUGAAAGGUUUGGCAGAUACAUCAAGCCAGUUCAUUAAUGCACAGAUGAUUCCUUCACAUUAAGAAAGACACGUUGGAGCACCAUAAAUGUCAAGGCAGUUAUUACGCACAAAAAGCAUAAAAUGGCAACCAUCAAAAGAUUCAUAGCCAAAAGGGACUUGCCUUGUCUCAGUUGAGGCUUUGGACUUGGAACUUUGAGGACUUGAAAACCAUCUCUGAAAUGUCACCAUCAAGAUGAUAGUGCCCCUAUCUCCCAGUUCCUGUGACAGGCAGGGGCCUAAGUUCUGCAGGCACUCUCCUCAAGUUGCAACACUUCUCCUGUCAUAAAUAUAUGAGAAAUUUAUUUUUCCUGUGCAUAAAUCCAAUUAGCAAGUGCAGAUGGCCUCCUGAAUGACCAGGUGCAUCUAAGACAAACUAUAUGUGACAAAUGGUGCUGUCAAGUACUGUUAACUUAAGCACUAGUUAAGUUUAUGCUGAGAACAUGUAUGUAAUGGGCUGUAUCUGCCUGCCUGUAUAAAAGGGAGAGGUGUCUUUCUAUCUUGGCAAUCUCUUAGCAUCACAUUCUGGUUUACUGUUUAUUCAAUAAUAAAACUGUUUCCUUUCUUUUUUUAUUUUUGUGAAGAGGUUUCCUUAGUUGGCAGGAGACUUAGUUUUUAUUUGUAUUUCCCCAGCAGUGUGUAUAUAUGUAUAUGUGUAUGUUUAUGUGAGAUGAUAUUGCACACAUGGAUCUAAUCAUCAAAAAACAUGCAUGUAUCAUACAGUACUUGGCUCUGAGGAUGUAACGGUAACAAAAGACAAAAUCCUUGUUAAACUACAUAUGCUCUAGAGAAAACAGACCCAAAAUAAUAUAUGUAAUAUUGCAUGGAUAGCAAUAAGUACAUGGAGACAAAAAUAAAACAGGGAAUAAAGAGAGACAGGGAUUGCCUCAUUAGACUGCUAGAAAUUAUAAAUGGUGUGGUCAGAAUCUGACUCACUGAGAAAUGUGGUAUUUGAGGAAAGACAAAUGAAGACAGACACAUACAGAAGUACAUAGUAGAAGUAAACAUCAAGCAGAGAGAAGAUUGUCAAGAACCUGAGGUAGGCAAAUGCCUAGCAUCCUUGACAAAUAGCAAGGUCAGCAGAGAUUUCAAGGGAAAGACAGAGAUACUGGGAGGGAAUAGAGGCAAAUUCAAUGUGGCAUUGUUAAUAUGGCUGAAAUGCCUAUACCAAUUUAAGUUCUUAAAACAGUAUUUAGGAGAUUCUUAAAAUUCCUAUUUCCUAUCAUUAACAUAAGGAUAGUGUUGAAUGAUAGUCCCUAAAUAGAAAUUGUAUCAUUUUUGUUUCUUUGUUUCGCCAGUCUAUUUGAGGAAAAUUACAUUUUUAUGGCUUUUAUAAAAUCAAGUUAGAGCACAUUUUAUAGAUAUUUUGGGUUUGUAUAAUUCUUGUAUAUGUUUGUUUGAAGAAUUUGUUCAUUAAUCUAUUGAGAUCCUGACUUCUUCCUAAUUAAUCACGAAGAAAAAUAUUAAGAGGUGGGAAUUAUCAGACACUGACCAAAACAUUAGGUGUUUUCUGAUAUUUGAAAUAUCAAAAAGGAACUGUGCAAAUUCUAUUAUUCAUUUGCAUUUUCAAUCUGUAUAUUCUCUGUAUAUUUUCUGUAAAUAAAGUUAGUGUUUAAAUUUUUAUUU